rnacentral:rRNA from 1 species
CAUUGUCGAGACCAAAAUCGAGCAAAUUUGGAAAACCUGUGAACUAUCGUUUUGGCGCCGGCAUCUGUCGUCGCCUGGCACCCGUCCGCCGACAGCCGCUCCUCCGUCGGAGUAGCGGCAUGCGUGCUGGAUGGGAGAAAAAAAAUCCGGCGCAGCUAUGCGCCAAGGUAUAUAUAAAUUGAGAGCAUCCGCGGCACGCCUGCGAAGCCCUUGCGAGCUUCGCGGACUGUUGUCGCUGCUUCAUAUCAUUAUCGUAUGACUCUCGGCAAUGGAUAUCUUGGCUCUUGCAUCGAUGAAGAGCGCAGCGAAAUGCGAUACGUGGUGCGAAUUGCAGAAUCCCGUGAACCAUCGAGUUUUUGAACGCAAGUUGCGCCUGAGGCCAACUGGCCGAGGGCACGUCCGCCUGGGCGUCAUGCAUUAAGUCGCUCCGUCUACCGCUGUCCCCGAUUUUUCGGUGCGACCGUGGUUUGCUCGGACGCGGAGGGUGGCCCGUCGUGCGUGCUGCUGCGCGGCGGGCUGAAGAGCGGUCCGUUUUUCCUCCUGGACAUGGUCGGUAAGGGGUGGAUGAGAGCUGCCUCCGGGCGCGCAUUAGCACUGCCGUGCCAUUUAUAUCGAGGAAUCCGACUAACAUCCUAGGCGGGCCUUGCUCACGGGCAGCGGGGCUUCGUCUUCAAAUGCGACCCCAGGAUGGGCGGGAU